rnacentral:rRNA from 1 species
GUCUACAGCCAUGCCACCCUGCACACUCCCGAUCUUAUCUGAUCUUGGAAGCUGAGCAGGGUUGGGCCUGGUUAGUACUUGGAUGGGAGGCCACCUAGGAAUAGCAGGUGCUGUAGGCU